GCCCUCGUGGAUCGCGGUGAUCCCUCCUGCUAAAUAAUUGAUCUGUGGAACUUAUGCAAGUCCGAGGAGAGAUGGAGGUUCGAAUCCUCCCGAGGACA